ensembl:lncRNA
CUUAAUAACUCACAGCUGUGCAUAUUUGAACCUCAUCUAGCACCAGCUCAUACAUUAUUGACGUUCUUAUUACUGGCAGCAGAGCUGCAGAAACGACAGUGAUAGCUGCUUUAGUUGAUGAGAGCACGGGUGUUGGGUAGGGCUCCCACUUGUUGCAGAGCACAGCCCCUGUACUUGGAGAGCUGUGUACGAGGAGGAGGAGGUGGGAAAGGCAGCCUGGAGCAGAUUAUUUGUGCAAUCUUUACUCAGCUGUUCCGAAGCCCUUGCUGGAUGGCGGGGAUGGCCCUCCCAGGCAGGUUCUCAGCAGAAUGGUCUGGACUCUGCUGGUGCUCUCACUUAUCACUGGGAGGAUAUUCCAGGACCACAUCCAUUGGCAGGCAGGAAGUUAAUGCACAGCCUCCGAUAAACCAUCUGUUACAAAAGCAGCAAUCAAAAUCCAAAGCAGCAGCCCUUCAGCAAUGUGACCAAACUCAGGUUAACUGAAGCCAAAUUCUCCUUUUAAGUAAACAGACCUCCAAGUACUGCUACUCUGACACAUGCUGGAUCAUUGCUUACAAGACGAAACUAGACUUUCUCCUGCCUGAACCCGAAGUCAGAGGGAACUUUUGAAUGAAUCAUGGACACAAGCCUCGUGGUAGGCAAAGAUUCUGCAUACAUGGAAAGCUUAGAGUCAGACAUGCUAGGCUGCAGCAGUCCAAGGCAACAAAGCUUCAAGGACAAGCACAACUUCUGUGGAUGUGGAUCACAGGAAGAAAAAGGGUCCAGAGCAGUAAGAAAGCACCAGAGGACCUCUGAGCGAUGGCCACCGGGGUGGCCUGUGUGCAUCACUGCCAGGAGUUUUAAAGAGAAAACCCACAGCACAGCAUGACUGUUGACACUGUCCAGUUCAAAGCAGCUUUGUGGUUUGGAAAAUGGAGGAAGGGAGGAAAAAAAUUAAUGGAAACCUCCUCUGGGAGAGUUUAGCAGUAGAUCUUUCACAUUCUGCCUGUUUUGGAAACAAGAAAAUGCUCAGUAUUGUUGUGAAUCCCCUUCAGAAACCCAGGAUAGCGGACCGCUCUGUAACAUCUACAAACUUGGUUUUCACCUCCUCUAAACCCCUUGAAGGUCUGGUUUUGGAGAAGUUCAUGCUCUGGAGCUCCUGCAGUGAUGAUGGCAGGCACUGGCUGGGGGCACAUCCGCAGACCCUAUCAGCAGGUUGGAGGUAGAGCUGUGAGCAACAUGAAUGAGAUUCCUUGCAUUAAAGCAGGCAGGAAAGUAUCUGGUAGUGCUCUGCGUGUGCUGUGGCAGUGCCUGGUGAUGGCAGGGGGUCCUGUGGCACCGAGCACCAGUAAGACACCUAAUAAUGGGCUCCCCCACCAUUUCUUACAGAGCAUGGCAAGAGGUUGUAAGGAAAGAUGUCUCUUCUGCUCAGUAUUUAUCAGGAGGGCUGGGGCUUGUUCAAGGACUCCCUCCUCGCCUCCUUACAGGCUGAGGUCAAAUGAGAACACAAAUCUCUCUGAUAAGGUUGUCAAAACAUGCCAAUUGAAUGUCAGAUACGAUUAAUAGGGAAGAUAACACCGAUGUGAUAGGUCAUGGGGAGGAAACUGCUAAACCAGUUGUAGAAGUGGAG